CCCUUAGAUGUCCGGGGCCGCACGCGCGCUACACUGAAGGAAUCAGCGUGGCUUUCUCCCUGACCCGAAAGGGUUGGGAAACCCGUUGAAUCUCCUUCGUGAUAGGGAUUGGGGCUUGAAAUUGUUCCCCAUGAACGAGGAAUUCCCAGUAAGCGCGAGUCAUAAGCUCGCGUUGAUUACGUCCCUGCCCUUUGUACACACCGACCGUCGCUACUACCGAUUGAACGGUUUAGUGAGGGCCUCGGAUUGGUCUCGGCCCGCUCUUUACCGGGCGGCGCCGUUGGUCGAGAAGACGCUCGAACUUGAUCGUUUAGAGGAAGUAAAAGUCGUAACA
rnacentral:rRNA from 1 species